UGAGGAAUAUUGGUCAAUGGGCGGCAGCCUGAACCAGCCAUCCCGCGUGAAGGAAGAAUGCGCUAUGCGUUGUAAACUUCUUUUCCAGGGGAAUAAAAAUCUGUACGUGUACAGGUCUGAAGGUACCCUGGGAAUAAGCAUCGGCUAACUCCGUGCCAGCAGCCGCGGUAAUACGGAGGAUGCGAGCGUUAUCCGGAUUUAUUGGGUUUAAAGGGUGCGUAGGCGGAUUAUUAAGUCAGUGGUGAAGACCUGCAGCUUAACUGUAGAGUUGCAAUUGAUACUGGGAAUCUAGAGUAUGGUCAAGGAAGGCGGAAUGUGUAAUGUAGCGGUGA
rnacentral:rRNA from 1 species